rnacentral:rRNA from 1 species
GACGAACGCUGGCGGCGUGCCUAAUACAUGCAAGUAGAACGCUGAAGAGAGGAGCUUGCUCUUCUUGGAUGAGUUGCGAACGGGUGAGUAACGCGUAGGUAACCUGCCUGGUAGUGGGGGAUAACUAUUGGAAACGAUAGCUAAUACCGCAUAAAAUUGAUUAUUGCAUGAUAGUCAAUUGAAAGGUGCAACUGCACCACUACCAGAUGGACCUGCGUUGUAUUAGCUAGUUGGUGGGGUAACGGCUCACCAAGGCGACGAUACAUAGCCGACCUGAGAGGGUGAUCGGCCACACUGGGACUGAGACACGGCCCAGACUCCUACGGGAGGCAGCAGUAGGGAAUCUUCGGCAAUGGACGGAAGUCUGACCGAGCAACGCCGCGUGAGUGAAGAAGGUUUUCGGAUCGUAAAGCUCUGUUGUAAGAGAAGAACGAGUGUGAGAGUGGAAAGUUCACACUA